rnacentral:rRNA from 1 species
AUACGUAGGGGGCGAGCGUUGUCCGGAAUUACUGGGCGUAAAGGGCGUGUAGGCGGCCAUGUAUGUCAGGUGUGAAAGGCCUCGGCUUAACCGAGGCAUUGCACAUGAAACUGUGUGGCUUGAGUGCAGGAGAGGGAAGUGGAAUUCCUAGUGUAGCGGUGAAAUGCGUAGAUAUUAGGAGGAACACCAGUGGCGAAGGCGACUUCCUGGACUGUAACUGACGCUGAGGCGCGAAAGCGUGGGUAGCAAACAGGAUUAGAUACCCUGGUAGUCCACGCUGUAAACGAUGGGUACUAGGUGUGGGUAGUUCACUCUAUCCGUGCCGCAGCAAACGCAAUAAGUACCCCGCCUGGGGAGUACGGCCGCAAGGUUGAA